AUUGAACGCUGGCGGCAUGCCUUACACAUGCAAGUCGAACGGCAGCAUGGAGAGCUUGCUCUCUGAUGGCGAGUGGCGAACGGGUGAGUAAUGCAUCGGAACGUACCGUGUAAUGGGAGAUAACGUAGCGAAAGUUACGCUAAUACCGCAUACGACCUGAGGGUGAAAGCAGGGGAUCGCAAGACCUUGCGUUAUACUAGCGGCCGAUGUCAGAUUAGCUAGUUGGUGAGGUAAAGGCUCACCAAGGCGACGAUCUGUAGCGGGUCUGAGAGGAUGAUCCGCCACACUGGGACUGAGACACGGCCCAGACUCCUACGGGAGGCAGCAGUGGGGAAUUUUGGACAAUGGGGGCAACCCUGAUCCAGCCAUGCCGCGUAAGUGAAGAAGGCCUUCGGGUUGUAAAGCUCUUUCGGCCGGGAAGAAAUCGCACAGGCUAAUACUCUGUGUGGAUGACGGUACCGGCAUAAGAAGCACCGGCUAACUACGUGCCAGCCGCCGCCGUAAGAC
rnacentral:rRNA from 1 species